GAAUUUUGGACAAUGGGCGCAAGCCUGAUCCAGCCAUGCCGCGUGAGUGAAGAAGGCCUUCGGGUUGUAAAGCUCUUUCGGCGGGGACGAAACGGUCCGUUCUAACACCACGGACUAAUGACGGUACUCGCAGCAGAAGCACCGGCCAACUACGUGCCAGCAGCCGCGGUAAUCCGUAGGGUGCAGGCGUUAAUCGGAAUUACUGGGCGUAAAGCGUGCGCAGGCGGCUCCUUAAGUCAGAUGUGAAAGCCCCGGGCUUAACCUGGGAACUGCGUUUGAAACUGGGGAGCUAGAGUGUGGAGGAGGGGGGUGGAAUUCCAGGUGUAGCAGUGAAAUGCGUAGAGAUCUGGAGGAACACCGAUGGCGGAGGCAGCCCCCUGGGCUAACACUGACGCUCAUGCACGAAAGCGUGGGGAGCAAACAGG
rnacentral:rRNA from 1 species